ACGGUGAGUAAUGUCUGGGAAACUGCCUGAUGGAGGGGGAUAACUACUGGAAACGGUAGCUAAUACCGCAUAACGUCGCAAGACCAAAGAGGGGGACCUUCGGGCCUCUUGCCAUCGGAUGUGCCCAGAUGGGAUUAGCUAGUAGGUGGGGUAACGGCUCACCUAGGCGACGAUCCCUAGCUGGUCUGAGAGGAUGACCAGCCACACUGGAACUGAGACACGGUCCAGACUCCUACGGGAGGCAGCAGUGGGGAAUAUUGCACAAUGGGCGCAAGCCUGAUGCAGCCAUGCCGCGUGUAUGAAGAAGGCCUUCGGGUUGUAAAGUACUUUCAGCGGGGAGGAAGGGAGUAAAGUUAAUACCUUUGCUCAUUGACGUUACCCGCAGAAGAAGCACCGGCUAACUCC
rnacentral:rRNA from 1 species